rnacentral:rRNA from 1 species
AAGAGUGGCGGACGGGUGAAGUAACACGUGGGUAACCUACCUACAAGCGGGGAUAACAUCGGAAACGGAUGCUAAUACCGCAUAGAUCUUUUUUGUCUCCUGGCAGAAAGAAGAAAGACGGUUUCGGCUGUCACUUGUAGAUGGACCCGCGGCGCAUUAGUUAGUUGGUGAGGUAAUGGCUCACCAAGACGAUGAUGCGUAGCCGACCUGAGAGGGUGAUCGGCCACACUGGGACUGAGACACGGCCCAGACUCCUACGGGAGGCAGCAGUAGGAAUCUUCCGCAAUGGACGAAAGUCUGACGGAGCAACGCCGCGUGAGUGAAGAAGGUUUUUUCCGGAUCGUAAAACUCUGUUGUUAGAGAAGAACAAGGAUGAGAGUAACUGCUCAUCCCUUGACGGUAUCUAACCGGAAAGCCAUGGCUAACUACGUGCCAGCAGCUGC